rnacentral:lncRNA from 1 species
AAUGAAUCUAUGUGUGAUUAUGUGUAUGUGUGUGAGGCAGUAAAUGUGUAUUUGUAUGUGUAUUUAUAUUUGUAUAUUUUGUGUAUGUGUGUUAUAUAUUGAUGUGUAGUAUGUGUAAUAUAUAUGCGUCUGUGUUUGUGAGUGAAUCUGUGUGUGUAUCUUAGAUAUGUGUGUGCAUGUUUGUGUAUUUGUAUGUGUAUUAGUAUAUAUCAAUGUGUGUGUGCG